UGCUUCCGCCUCCCUCCCUGCUCAGGGCUCCCAGGAACCAGGAGAGACGCUGCCUCGAAAGCUGAAGCA
rnacentral:snoRNA from 1 species